GACAGAGGGUGCAAACGUUGUUCGGAAUUACUGGGCAUAAAGCGCACGUAGGUGGUCUGUUAAGUCACGUGUGAAAUCCCCCGGCUCAACCGGGAAAUGGCGCGUGAUACUGGCAGGCUUGAGGCGGGUAGGGGUGAGCGGAACUCCAGGUGGAGCGGUGAAAUGCGUAGAUAUCUGGAGGAACACCGGUGGCGUAAGCGGCUCACUGGACCCGGUCUGACACUGAGGUGCGAAAGCUAGGGUAGCAAACGGG
rnacentral:rRNA from 1 species